rnacentral:rRNA from 1 species
AUGACGCCGCGCGGUGGAUGACUCGGCUCGGGCGCCGAAGAAGGGCGCGGCAAGCGGCGAUAUGCCCGGGGGAGGCGCAGGCAGCCGUCGAACCCGGGAUCCCCGAAUGGGAACUCCCGCCACGGGUAAACCCGUGGCAUCUGGGGUCUGGGUAACCCCCAGACCCUGGAGGGGAACCCCCCGAACGGAAACAUCUUAGUAGGGGGAGGAAGAGAAAUCAAACGAGAUCCCCUGAGUAGGGGCGACCGAAAGGGGGAUAGCCCAAACCAAACCUGCCGGCGAUGAGNNNNNNNNNNGGGAUGUGGGGUUACGGGCCCGCGGCUGGGGAUUCGAUCCCCAGCAGGCCGACACCAGGUAGCCGAAGUGGGCUGGAAAGCCCCGCCGUAGAGGGUGAUAGCCCCGUAGGCGAAACCUGGUGGGCCUGCGCCGCGGGCCAGAGUACCACGGCUUGGUUUUGCCGUGGGAAGUUGGGGGGCUCCGACCUCCAAGGCUAAAUACGUCCCGAGACCGAUAGCGAACUAAGUACCGUGAGGGAAAGUUGAAAAGCACCCUGGGAGAGGGGGUGAAAAGAGCCUGAAACCGCGCGGCUACUCAUGGCACGGCCCGAAAGGAAUGAGCUCCUCCGAAGGAAACCCGGGCGACCGGGGAGUACGAGGAGGGGUAACCGGGGUCGUGCCUUCCGUCUUGAAACACGGGCCGGGGAGUUCACGGCUGUGGCGAGGCUAAGGGGGUUAACCCCGAAGCCGUAGGGAAACCGACAUGCCCGCAGCGGGCUUUGCCCGCGAGGGGCGGGGUCUGCAAGGGCCUGGAGUCACAGCCGUGAGACCAGAAACCGGGCGAUCUAGGCGGGGGCAGGGUGAAGCCGGGGGAAACCCCGGUGGAGGCCCGAAGGGGUUCUGACGUGCAAUUCGUUCCUCUGACCCCCGUCUAGGGGCAAAAGACCAAUCUAGCCCGGUGAUAGCUGGUUCCCGCCGAAGUGCGUCCCAGCGCAGCCCCGCCGGAGGCUGGCCACGGGGUAGAGCGACGGAUUGGAGCGGUAUGGAGGGAAACCUCCAGCCGCUCCAGUCCAACUCCGAACCCGUGGUCGCCGUAGAUGGCGGGAGUGGGGCUUCCCGGGGUAAGCCUGGGAGCCGAGAGGGGAAAAACCCAGACCGGGGUUAAGGCCCCUAAGUGCCGGCUAAGUGCCAACCAAAGGGCGUCCCAGGCCGUAGACAGCGGGGAGGUGGGCCUAACAGCAGCCAGCCUCUAAGGAGUGCGUAACAGCUCACCCGCCGAGGCCUGGGGCCCCGAAGAUUGGUCGGGGCUUAAGCCGGCCGCCGAGACCCCGGGGCUCCCUCCCUGUGGGAGGGAGAUCCGGUAGGCGGGCGCUGUGGUGGGGCAGAAGCCGGGUCGUGAGAUCCGGUGGACCCGCCACAGUUGCGGAUCCCGGCGGUAGUAACAGCAAAGAGGGGUGAGAAUCCCCUCCGCCGGAAGGGCCAGGGUUCCUCGGCAACGAUCAUCAGCCGAGGGUUAGCCGGUCCUAAGGCCACCCGUAACUCGGUGUGGCCGAAAGGGAAAGGGGUUAAUAUUCCCCUGCCGCGGGGGUAGGUGCGGUAACGCAGGCCCCAGCCCUGACGCCUCGGGGUAGGCCGACCGGGGCAGCCGCCCCGGCUAACCGCUGAAGGCCGUGGAGUGCCGUAAUGGCGAGAAGCGGCCGAAGGCGGGAAUGGGCUCCCGUAUGGGGGCUUCGGCUGAGCCCUGGGGCCCGUGAAAAGGGGCUGGGGAACGAUCCCCCGCGACCGUACCGAGAACCGACACAGGUGCCCCUGGGUGAGGAGCCCAAGGCGGGUGGGGGCUAACCCGGGCUAGGGAACUCGGCAAAUUGGCCCCGUAACUUCGGGAGAAGGGGUGCCUGCGACCCUGGGCUCAGCCUGGGGCCGCAGGUCGCAGUGACCAGGGGGUCCUGACUGUUUAAUAAAAACAUAGCUCCCCGCAAGCCCGAAAGGGUUUGCANNNNNNNNNNCGGGGGGUGAAUCCUGGCCACUGGCGGUUCGUGAAACCAGGGUCCAACCUGGCGAAGCGCCGCUGAAGGCCGGGGGUAACUCUGACCCUCUUAACGGGAGCGCCUAUGCCGGCAAUAUAAAGCUUAUAAAUCUGGCUAACAAAUAUUAGCCAGGGCCAAUAUGGAUUGCCAUGAACAAUUAACGGCAGGAUAUAUUGUUGGAUUCUUAGAUGCUGAAGCAAGUUUCUCAAUAAGUAUUAAAGUGCAAAGCGACGUAUCAUGUGGUAUAAGACUAGACCCGGUGUUUAGUAUAACGCAAAUGGGUAGAGAACCUCUUGAAAUAAUAUCUAAAGCCAUCGGUGCUGGAAGAAUAAUUAAGAAAACAGGCCAAAAACACCUAUACUUGCUAGUGAUAGACAACAUGGACGAUCUAGCAAAUAGGCUAAUUCCAUUUCUAGACAAAUAUGUAGAUCUUAUGACCAUUAAAAGGAAAUCUUAUACUAUAUUUAGAGAAAUAGUAAUGGCAUUAUAUCAGGGCUUACAUAAAGACCCCUCAAAGCUCAAGGAAUUAGUAACAAAGGCAUAUAGCUUAUCUUCCUUGAGCCCUAAAGCUCGUAGGAAAAGAAGUUUAGAUGAGAUAUUCGAGAUCAUUAAUCUUCAUUGCCGUGCAUAGGCGCUCCCGGGAGAAAGGUAGCCAAAUGCCUUGCCGGGUAAGUUCCGGCGCGCAUGAAUGGAUCAACGAGGGCCCCACUGUCCCAGCCCGGGACCCCGUGAAGCCCACGGAGCCAGUGCACAGGCUGGCAUCCCCCCGUAGGGAGAGAAGACCUUGUGGAGCUUUACCGCAGCCUGGCGUUGGCCUCUGGGCCUUGGUGCGUAGCGUAGGCGGGAGGCAAUGUGGCGCUCCUCUCGGGGAGCGUCGAGCCGCCAAUGAAACACCGCCCACUAGGGCCUGGGGGCCUAACCCCGGGGAACCGGGGGACAGCGUCAGGUGGGCGGUUCGGCUGGGGCGGCACACCCGCGAAAAGAUAACACGGGUGCCCAAAGGCCGGCUCAGGCGGGUCAGAACUCCGCCGUAGAGCGCAAGGGCAAAAGCCGGCCUGACCAGGCCCUUGAACACAAGGGGCCUGGCCGGGAAACCGCGGCCUAGCGAACGCUCGUGCCCCCUCGGAGGGGGCCGGGCAUGACAGAAAAGUUACCCCAAGGAUAACAGGGUCGUCGCGGGCGAGAGUUCAUAUCGACCCCGCGGUUUGCUACAUCGAUGUCGGCUCUUCCCAUCCUGGGGGUGCACAAGCCCCCAAGGGUGGGGCUGCCCGCCCAUUAAAGGGGAACGUGAGCUGGGUUUAGACCGUCGUGAGACAGGUCGGACUCUACCCACGGGGGGUGCGGGCCGCCUGAGGGGAAGGUGACCCAAGUACGAAAGGAACGGGUCGCCGCGGCCUCUAGUCUACCGGUUGUCCGGCAGGGCAUAUGCCGGGCAGCCACGCCGUAAGGGAUAACCGCUGAAAGCAUCUAAGCGGGAAGCCCACCCCGAAAAGAGGCGGCCGUUCCACCCGCGAGGGUGGACGAGGGCUCCCGUAGAAGACGGGGUUGAUGGGGCGGGGGUGUAAGCCCCGAGGGUUUCCGAGGGGUGAGCCUGCCGCUCCCAAUCGCCCGAGGCUGUGGGCU